UAAAAUCUGUUCUUAUCAGUUUAAUAUCUGAUGCAUCCUCUAGCCAAGGACAGUAUUUUAAAUGGAUUUUUGGAACUAGGAGGUGGAAUAGGAGCUUGCUCCCUCCACUCCACACAUCGACCGGGUAUUGUAGUGCUUCCAGGACACUGC
rnacentral:snRNA from 1 species